UGUUGCUACCAUGGUAAUCCUGCUCAGUGUGAGAGGAACCAAAGGUUCAGACAUCUGGCGUAUGUGUUUGGCUGAGGAGCCAAUGGUGUGAAGCUACCAUCUAUGGGAUUAUGACUGACCGCCUCUAAGUCAGAAUCCUGCCCAGAAGAAAGGAUGCAGCAGCGCUGACAAGACUCGGUUGACCUCAGAUUGACGGUGCCCCGCCUUUCCCACUGGCCAGAUGCUCCGCCCCGCUGCGCGCCAAGACCUGGCUCCGGUGCAGAGAGCUCCUUGUCCUAAAAAAUGGCGUGUGGCCAGAAAGGGGUUUGCUUCCUGGCCCAUCACAUAACACAUUUAUGUGGAAUCUGAUACUAAACCAUUCGUAAACGCCCUGCUUCUGGGUUAGGGUUUCCUAUGGAGCAGAGCAGCUCCCUCACUGCAACCUAUUGAAAGUCAGCCCUCCACAUGAGAGUCU
rfam:Pan troglodytes isolate Yerkes chimp pedigree #C0471 (Clint) chromosome Y, whole genome shotgun sequence.